rnacentral:lncRNA from 1 species
AUGGGUGCUAUUGACACCCUGACUUACAAAGGAAAUAAAUGUGGACUUGAUUUGUUAUGCAGUUUCAUAUGCUGUAUUUUUUUUUUUCAUGCAGGUCUGGAUUCCCCAUGCUGUGCUUCCUUUGGGAGAGAGCUCAGCUCUUCGGUGUGGAAAAUAACUCUUGAAUUGACAGAGGAAAUGGUUGUAUCCAACAGUGGGCAAAAUGCUGUCAGAAAUUCAAACACUGCCACUGGAGAAAACCUUAGAUUAUUUCUGCAGAGAUUCCCAGAUCUCUGCUACCACCCUUAGCAUGCCAUGCUAGUGGAAAGUGUCCCUGCCAAGAUGGAGUUCCAGCUGGAUCAGUUUUGGAAGACACUACUUCAAAGGCUCAGUGUCCUGCCAUGAAUCUGCCUGCCAUGCCGACAUCUUGCUUGUUUAUUCUUCUUCCUCUACCACUCAACAGCAGUUGCUGCAUUGACGAAGAGCAUUCCUCUUUUCAGCUAUGGUUUGUUACAAGAUAGGUAAGCUGAAACAUAUGGCUCACAGUAGAAUUGCUUUGGAUAGUGAGGAGAUGAGGGGAUAUGUGGAAAUUAACACUUUUACUAGCUCAAGAGCAAAUGUCUUUUCUGUUUAGAACAUCAUGUCAUUCUUGCAGUUUGCUGUUUGAAUAGCGUGUCAUGAAAGUGGCAUCUGCCAAAUACCAAGCAGGCAUUUCAGUUCUUUGUGUCGUCAUUCUCUGUGAAAUAAAUGGAAGGGGUUUGAACGAAAGACA